CUGCACGAAUCAGGUGGUGUCCAGCGCGCAGGCGCAUACUUAUUCUCUGCGCGGCGUCCGUUUCUCCAGACUUUCCACUUUUGGCAAGCUAUGUUCCCUGGCUUGUGUCCAGUCUACAAAAGGUCUUAAAACCACGGAGCAGGGCUUUAAGCGUUUAGGAUCUCGCUUUUUGCAGGCUUUUGACAAGAAGGCUCAGAUCUCCACUAACCAGUGGCCACAUUUUACCAUCAUGAUCAUUGAGUAGCUCACAACCAAACCGUUUGCUUUAUCACAGCAAGAAGAGUGAGGAGAGCCAAAAAUGUCACAGAAGAAAGACAACUCAGAACAACCACCCUCAGCCUCCCAAGUCCAGGACACUGGGUCGACGACUCUUCACAACUUCUUCAGGCUGAAUAUGGAUGUUGAGAUAUCUUGAAGGGGGCUAGGGAAAAUGGCCUUAAGAAGGCCACCCAACAAUUGAUGCAGUCUCUGAUGUUUGUCCUGACUGGAUCUGGCCAAAAGCCCCUGAGAUCAGGAGUUCAAGCAGAGAGCUCAAAACCUGACAUCAUCAAGGACUCUGGAUCUGUACAGCAAAGCCUAUAUUGUCACAUUGCCACCUAAGCAGUUCCUAACUACUUCAACUGGAUUCACACUCAGGAUGAAAAACUGAAGGACAGUACCCAAAGUCACACAGCAAACAAAUGUCUCAACUAAUAUUCGAGUCCAGAUCGGACUCCUUACUUCGUCACUAAGGACGCGCCUGUGGAUAAUUGUGUCUGAGCUCCCGAAGAGCCGUAAACUAGAUUUUAAAGGUCAAAGAGAUAAGGCAAGUCUUGGAUUGUCUUCUUGCCACUUUUACUUCAUUUUCAUACUAUCUUUUCACUGGUGUAAGGAAUUUGCCGAAUGUCUUAGGGGGAAGCAGAGACAUUGUUUUCCUGAACCCGCUGUAUAAAUUGCGCAAGUGAGUGAACGCUCUGGAGAGCAGGUGAUAUAGCCCGAAGAGUCGUUGUUUAAAUUGCCUCAAAUACAAAAUGCUUUGUGCUGUCUAAAGCCUUCCAGACACUAAGCCAGCAUCCAAUGAUGUCCCAGCCAGAACACUUUGAGGACUAUUUCCCAGAACGCUUAUAGGAAGCACUGCUUCAUUAAACCGAACAUACUUUCUCAAUCGUUUACUUGAAGUCCAAUGACCUAACAUGUGUAGUCGCGCAUGUAGUGAAUCCUUUGCAAAUCUUAGGGAAUAAGUGGACCUGAAAAACCCG
ensembl:lncRNA